CCGGCACGGGUGAGUAACACGUAUCCAACCUGCCGUCUACUCUUGGACAGCCUUCUGAAAGGAAGAUUAAUACAAGGUGGCAUCAUGAGUCCACAUGUUCACAUGAUUAAAGGUAUUCCGGUAGACGAUGGGGAUGCGUUCCAUUAGAUAGUAGGCGGGGUAACGGCCCACCUAGUCUUCGAUGGAUAGGGGUUCUGAGAGGAAGGUCCCCCACAUUGGAACUGAGACACGGUCCAA
rnacentral:rRNA from 1 species